UACGAAGGGUGCUAGCGUUGUUCGGAAUCACUGGGCGUAAAGCGCGCGUAGGCGGCUUAUCAGGUCAGGGGUGAAAUCCUUGGGCUCAACCCAAGAAUUGCCUUUGAAACUGAUAAGCUAGAGUACUGGAGGGGAUAGCGGAAUUGCUAAUGUAGCGGUGAAAUGCGUAGAUAUUAGCAGGAACACCGGUGGCGAAGGCGGCUAUCUGGACAGUAACUGACGCUGAGGCGCGAAAGCGUGGGGAUCAAACAGG
rnacentral:rRNA from 1 species